rnacentral:rRNA from 1 species
UACGUAGGGUGCAAGCGUUGUCCGGAAUUAUUGGGCGUAAAGAGCUCGUAGGCGGCUUGUUGCGUCGUCCGUGAAAACUUGUGGCUUAACCACAGGCUGGCGGUCGAUACGGGCAGGCUGGAGUUCGGUAGGGGAGACUGGAAUUCCUGGUGUAGCGGUGAAAUGCGCAGAUAUCAGGAAGAACACCCGAGGCGAAGGCGGGUUGCUGGGCUGACACUGACGCUGAAGCGCGAAAGCUAGGGGAGCGAACGGG